CGAAAGUCAGACCCAAACCAGUGCCACAGACUCAAACCAGGCAAGUCCUUGUUAAGAACUUAAGUCCUUCUCACGGAAGAAUGCCCUUGAGCCACAGUGGAAGGAACCUUAUCUGCUGCUGCUAUCUACAGGAACUGUGGAAAAGUGUAAGGAAUAGCAGACCUCGGAUCUACGCCUCUCCCCUUAAGCAGGUUCCAGAGCUAUCAGAAGAGGACCCUGAGUAUUGCUGUAAAGGUGUGCAGAAGCCUGUUAAUGCGAGAACACUGGAACGGAUAGUUUCUGCAAGUCUUCAAGAAAGAGAAGAGCAAAGUGACAGCCAGAGAUAGAGAUCCUAAGACUCCUGCAGAUAGAUCCCUAAAGCCUGCCUCAUGAUGAAACCAGAGACUUGUCGCUUCAAUUAUUACGUGAAGAUACGGGCUCUCCUGAUCAAGCACCUUAUCCAAGAGUUACCAGAAUGUGAUUUCUGCUGGUGAAGAAAUCGACUGGGCCAGGAUGUUGUCACCCGUCGCCGGGGACGGGUUCUUUUGGAAUCGGCACGGCGAGAGAGAGAGAGAGAGAGAGAGGCUGGGGAUGGAAAACCUGAGUUUUGUAUAGAAUUUAUUCCGCGGGGUGAAUUGAAUUAAAUAAUUAUUUAGAUGGGA